rnacentral:rRNA from 1 species
GCGCUAAACUACACCUCGGGCACCACGGCGGCACCCAAGGGCGUGGUGUACAGCCAUCGUGGUGCGUACCUGAACACCAUGGGACAGCUAUUGUCGUGGGGGGUGGGCACCGAGCUGCUAUACCUCUGGACACUCCCCAUGUAACACUGCAAUGGGAGGACACUCACCUAGGGAGUGGCGGCGCGCGGCGGCGUCAAUGUCUGCAUCCAUGAGAACCGAGCUGCCGACCUCUACCAUGCCAUCUUCGACUAUGGUGUCACCCACAUGUGAUGCGCGCCCGUGGCAUUCAAUAUCCUCCUUGCCGGCGAGGCACUACGGCUCACGGCUCCCGUCCACGUCCUCACUGGCGGCGCACCGCCGACGACCGCCCUGCUGGACCGCGUUGAGCGGAUCGGUUUCAAGGUGACGCACUCCUACGGGCUCACUGAGGCAGGUCCCACUCUAGCCUACGAGUGGCGUCACCAGUGGGACCUCCUGCCGCUCCCGGAGCGCUCACACCUCAAGGCCAGGCAGGGGGUCAGCAUCCUCUAUCUCGUCGAUGCCAAUGUCAUGGUCGACGAUGACACCAUGUCUAGCGUGCCGCGCGACGGCAAGUCCUUGGGUGAGAUCGUGCUCCGCGGCAGGAACCUCAUGAAGGGAUACCUCAACAACCCAGAGGCAAAUGCGAAGGACUUCAAGGGCGGGUGGUUCAUGACCGGCGACGUUGGUGUUGUGCACCCAGAUGGGUACUUCGAGAUAAAGGACAGGUCAAAGGACGUGAUCAUCAGCGGCGGUGAGAACAUAUGCAGCAAGGACCUGGAGCAUGUGCUGCUCCAGCAUCCGGCUGUGGCGGACGCGGUGGUGGUCGCGAUGCCUCACCGGCAUUGGGGCGAGACGCCAUGCGCAUUCCUCGUGGCGAAAGACAAGGCCGCCGAGGUAUGCAAGGAUGAAUUGGUCGCCUUCUGCCGCGAGCGCAGCGACAAGAGUGAAAAGCUCAAGUGUUGUGCAUGGAAAUUAACUGGUUUAUGGGCAUAUAUAGGUACUGAUACAUAA